GACGAACGCUGGCGGCGUGCUUAACACAUGCAAGUCGAACGGAAAGGCCCUGCUUGCAGGGUACUCGAGUGGCGAACGGGUGAGUAACACGUGGGUGAUCUGCCCUGCACUUCGGGAUAAGCCUGGGAAACUGGGUCUAAUACCGGAUAGGAGCCAUUUUUAGUGUGAUGGUUGGAAAGUUUUUUCGGUGUAGGAUGAGCUCGCGGCCUAUCAGCUUGUUGGUGGGGUAAUGGCCUACCAAGGCGGCGACGGGUAGCCGGCCUGAGAGGGUGGACGGCCACAUUGGGACUGAGAUACGGCCCAGACUCCUACGGGAGGCAGCAGUGGGGAAUAUUGCACAAUGGGCGCAAGCCUGAUGCAGCGACGCCGCGUGGGGGAUGAAGGCCUUCGGGUUGUAAACUCCUUUCGCUAGGGACGAAGCUUUUUGUGACGGUACCUAGAUAAGAAGCACCGGCUAACUACGUGCCAGCAGCCGCGGUGAUACGUAGGGUGCGAGCGUUGUCCGGAUUUAUUGGGCGUAAAGGGCUCGUAGGUGGUUGAUCGCGUCGGAAGUGUAAUCUUGGGGCUUAACCCUGAGCGUGCUUUCGAUACGGGUUGACUUGAGGAAGGUAGGGGAGAAUGGAAUUCCUGGUGGAGCGGUGGAAUGCGCAGAUAUCAGGAGGAACACCAGUGGCGAAGGCGGUUCUCUGGGCCUUUCCUGACGCUGAGGAGCGAAAGCGUGGGGAGCGAACAGGCUUAGAUACCCUGGUAGUCCACGCUGUAAACGGUGGGUACUAGGUGUGGGGUCCAUUCCACGGGUUCCGUGCCGUAGCUAACGCUUUAAGUACCCCGCCUGGGGAGUACGGCCGCAAGGCUAAAACUCAAAGGAAUUGACGGGGCCCCGCACAAGCGGCGGAGCAUGCGGAUUAAUUCGAUGCAACGCGUAGAACCUUACCUGGGUUUGACAUGGAUCGGGAGUGCUCAGAGAUGGGUGUGCCUCUUUUGGGGUCGGUUCACAGGUGGUGCAUGGCUGUCGUCAGCUCGUGUCGUGAGAUGUUGGGUUAAGUCCCGCAACGAACGCAACCCUUGUUCACUGUUGCCAGCACGCUAUGGUGGGGACUCAGUGGAGACCGCCGGGGUCAACUCGGAGGAAGGUGGGGAUGACGUCAAGUCAUCAUGCCCCUUAUGUCCAGGGCUUCACGCAUGCUACAAUGGCUGGUACAGAGAGUGGCGAGCCUGUGAGGGUGAGCGAAUCUCGGAAAGCCGGUCUCAGUUCGGAUUGGGGUCUGCAACUCGACCUCAUGAAGUCGGAGUCGCUAGUAAUCGCAGAUCAGCAACGCUGCGGUGAAUACGUUCCCGGGGCU
rnacentral:rRNA from 1 species